rnacentral:rRNA from 1 species
CGCGGCGUAAGGGUGAGUAAGGCGACGGCAACCAACCCCGAGGCCGGGGAUAGCCGUGGGAAACCGCGGGUAAUAUCCGGCGUCGCGUCUGGGGGGCAUCUUCUGGACGUGAAAGGUGCGAUUCCGCCUUGGGACGGGCCGUUGUGGUAUCAGCUAGAUGGUGGGGUAAUGGCUCACCAUGGCGACGACGCCUACCGGGCGUGCGAGCGUGGCCCGGCACACUGGGACUGAGACACUGCCCAGACACCUGCGGGUGGCUGCAGUCGAGAAUCUUCGGCAAUGGGCGCAAGCCUGACCGAGCGACGCCGCGUGGAGGAUGAAGGCCUUCGGGUUGUAAACUCCUGUCGGGGGGGAACAAGGUGCCGUGCAGAGCGGUGCUUGAGUGAUCCCCGGAGGAAGCACGGGCUAAGUUCGUGCCAGCAGCCGCGGUAAGACGAACCGUGCGAACGUUAUUCGGAAUCACUGGGCUUAAAGCGCGUGCAGGCGGCCUGGAACGUCCGUUGCUGAAAGCCCCCGGCUCAACCGGGGAAGUGGCGCGGAAACGGCUGGGCUUGAGGGGGGUAGGGGGAUCGGGAACUUCCGGUGGAGCGGUGAAAUGCGUUGAGAUCGGAAGGAACGCCCGCGGCGAAAGCGCGGUCCUGGGCCCCUCCUGACGCUGAGACGCGAAAGCCAGGGGAGCGAACGGGAUUAGAUACCCCGG